GAAACUCAAAUGAAUUGACGGGGCUCGCACAAGCGGUGGAGCAUGUGGUUUAAUUCGAAGCAACGCGAAGAACCUUACCAGGUCUUGACAUCCCUGACAACCCGAGAGAUCGGGCGUUCCCCUUCGGGGGACAGGGUGACAGGUGGUGCAUGGUUGUCGUCAGCUCGUGUCGUGAGAUGUUGGGUUAAGUCCCGCAACGAGCGCAACCCUCGACCUUAGUUGCCAGCAUUCAGUUGGGCACUCUAAGGUGACUGCCGGCUAAAAGUCGGAGGAAGGUGGGGAUGACGUCAAAUCAUCAUGCCCCUUAUGACCUGGGCUACACACGUGCUACAAUGGGCGGUACAAAGGGUCGCGAACCCGCGAGGGGGAGCCAAUCCCAAAAAGCCGCUCUCAGUUCGGAUUGCAGGCUGCAACUCGCCUGCAUGAAGCCGGAAUCGCUAGUAAUCGCGGAUCAGCACGCCGCGGUGAAUACGUUCCCGGGCCUU
rnacentral:rRNA from 1 species